rnacentral:rRNA from 3 species
CCUAUGAAGCUUUACUGUAACUUGAAAUUGAAAUUGGACUUUAUUCGCGCAGUAUAGGUGGGAGGUGUUGAUUAUAAUCUUGCGGGAUUAUUGGAGCCAUCAGUGAGAUACCACUCUUGUAAUGUUAGAUUUCUAACUUUGAAUCAUUAUCUGGUCAAAGAACAGUUUCAGGCGGGCAGUUUGACUGGGGCGGUCGCCUCCCAAAUGGUAACGGAGGCGUACAAAGGUUUCCUCUGAACGGGUAGAAAUCGUAUCUAGAGUGUAAAGGCAUAAGGAAGCUUGACUGUGAGACCUACAAGUCGAGCAGGGACGAAAGUCGGUCUUAGUGAUCUGACGGUACUGAGUGGAAAGG